UUUUUCUGUGCAUAAUUUCUGCAUAUAAGCUUUUAGGUUUUCCACAUCCAAACUCUAGUGUCUUAUUUCUCACUUUCCUAUCAUCUAUACAAGACAACUGCAAGAUCACAGGUAGAAUAACUAGAACCAAAGUUGUCAGAACAAAUUUAAGCUUACUAGAUUUACUUACUGCCAAUAAUUCAUCUAACUUGUUUAAAACUUUUAUAAUUUGUUAUUUUUUUUAGAAAAGUAGCUAGAAUUCUUUUUAAAAUGUUUAUUUUCUUAAGAAAAAGUCAAUUAGAGGAUUUAUUAGGAUAAGUUGAGUCAUUAUUUAUAAAGAUGAGAUAUUGUCAAUUUAUAAAGGGGUAAAGAACACAUGCAUCAUGACAAUUUUCAGUUAAUAAAGUUUUUUUUUUUCUUUUUCAAUUCCUUGUGUGAGAUCUUCUUUCUCUAUGUGAGGUUGUUAUCCAAGAUAAAGUGGGUUCAUUCAUAAUGAUGCGUGCUUUGGAACGCAAGUGUGUUCUUUUGAGCAUUUAUUCCAGCAAUAUCAACUACAGGUUUAGCUGCAGAAAAGACUAGAAAUCUGCAAAACUUUAUGCUAUCAAUCAGACAAGGAUAGAAUGACUCCAGAAAUUAUCUGACCUGUCCAAAAGUCAUUCUCUUCUUAGAGCUCUAAAGUAAACAAUAAUCUUCUUCUGAUGCAAGACUAGCGCUUGGCUGAAACUUGAAUUAAAUGGCCAAUCU